CAAUAGCGUAUACUAAUGUUGUUGCAGUUAAAAAGCUCGUAGUUGAACUUCUGGUAGGAGUGUCCCGGCCUUUUUGUUUUUACAAAUUGUAUGCUGUGUGACAUCUCUGGCCAUCCUUCUUCUUUGUUUAAAGAAGAUCUUUCACUGUAAAAAAAUUAGGGUGUUCAAAGCAAAAGUUUCUUUGGAAUAUAUUAGUAUGGGACGAUAAGAUAGGCUCUAGAUGCUAUUUUGUUGGUUUGCACAUUUAGAGAAUGAUUAACAGGGACAGUUGGGGGUAUUCGUAUUUACAUGUCAGAGGUGAAAUUCUUGGAUUUUGGAAAGACGAACUACUGCGAAAGCAUUUACCAAGGAUGUUUUCAUUAA
rnacentral:rRNA from 1 species